AACUUUCGGCAACGGAUCACUAGGCUCUUGCAUCGAUGAAGAACGCAGCAAAGUGCGAAAUGUGAUGCGAUUUGCACGAAUCUGUGAGUCAUCUAAUCUUUGAACGCGAAUGGCACUGUUACGUAAGUAGCAGUAUGUCUGUUUGAGAAUCGCAAACACGAUCAACUCUAGUUAGAGUUGGGAUUGACCUCAUGCGCUGUAAUAUGGCGCAUUUGGUUUGAAUUGAUCAAGUUGAUGGGCUUCCCAGCAAUGCUCGAUGUGUGCUAGCGAGACAGUCGUCCCGAUCUCACAUUAGUUGUUUUGUUGCAGAGCCCUAAUCACAGCUUGUUUAACCUAAUAUCAUCUAUUACGAUCUCAAAUCAGGCAAGAUUACCCGCUGAACUUAAGCAUAUCAAUAAGCGGAGGCU
rnacentral:misc_RNA from 1 species